UCAAUGGAAGUGAAAGGUCACUGUGC
rnacentral:piRNA from 1 species